rnacentral:rRNA from 1 species
GAAUUCGCCCUUAGAGUUUGAUCCUGGCUCAGGAUGAACGCUGGCGGCAUGCCUAAUACAUGCAAGUCGAACGAGAGGAAGGAAAGCUUGCUUUUCUGAAUCUAGUGGCGAACGGGUGAGUAACACGUAGGUAACCUGCCCAUGUGCCCGGGAUAACUUCUGGAAACGGAUGCUAAAACCGGAUAGGUAGCAGACAAGCAUUUGACUGCUAUUAAAGUGGCUAAGGCCAUGAACAUGGAUGGACCUGCGGUGCAUUAGCUAGUUGGUGAGGUAACGGCCCACCAAGGCGACGAUGCAUAGCCGGCCUGAGAGGGCGGACGGCCACAUUGGGACUGAGACACGGCCCAGACUCCUACGGGAGGCAGCAGUGGGGGAUAUUGCACAAUGGGGGAAACCCUGAUGCAGCGACGCCGCGUGGAGGAAGAAGGUUUUCGGAUUGUAAACUCCUGUCGUUAGGGACGAUAAUGACGGUACCUAACAAGAAAGCACCGGCUAACUACGUGCCAGCAGCCGCGGUAAAACGUAGGGUGCAAGCGUUGUCCGGAAUUACUGGGUGUAAAGGGAGCGCAGGCGGGAAGACAAGUUGGAAGUGAAAACCAUGGGCUCAACCCAUGAAUUGCUUUCAAAACUGUUUUUCUUGAGUAGUGCAGAGGUAGAUGGAAUUCCCGGCGUAACGGUGGAAAUGCGUAGAUAUUCGGGGAGGGAACACCAGUGGCGAAGGCGGUUUACUGGGCACCAACUGACGCUGAGGCUGGAAAGCAUGGGUAGCAAACAGGAUUAGAUACCCUGGUAGUCCAUGCCGUAAACGAUGAUUACUAGGUGUUGGGGGAUUGACCCCCUCAGUGCCGCAGUUAACACAAUAAGUAAUCCACCUGGGGAGUACGACCGCAAGGUUGAAACUCAAAGGAAUUGACGGGGGCCCGCACAAGCAGUGGAGUAUGUGGUUUAAUUCGAAGCAACGCGAAGAACCUUACCAGGUCUUGACAUCCGAUGCAUAGCACAGAGAUGUGUGAAAUCCUUCGGGACAUCGAGACAGGUGGUGCAUGGUUGUCGUCAGCUCGUGUCGUGAGAUGUUGGGUUAAGUCCCGCAACGAGCGCAACCCUUAUUGCCAGUUACUACGUUAAGAGGACUCUGGCGAGACUGCCGUUGACAAAACGGAGGAAGGUGGGGAUGACGUCAAAUCAUCAUGCCCUUUAUGACCUGGGCUACACACGUACUACAAUGGCGUUAAACAAAGAGAAGCAAGACCGCGAGGUGGAGCAAAACUCAAAAACAACGUCUCAGUUCAGAUUGCAGGCUGCAACUCGCCUGCAUGAAGUCGGAAUUGCUAGUAAUCGCGGAUCAGCAUGCCGCGGUGAAUACGUUAGGGGGCCUUGCACACACCGCCCGUCA